rnacentral:lncRNA from 1 species
GAUAACAUAUGUUUAAUAACAUCACAAUGAGAUGAAACAUAAACGUCAACAGGUUUGAUAUAAUGUUUCAAUUUUGUACACGAGAAAUAUAAGCAUAAACAUAAUUUUUCGAUCAUGCUAUACCUAGUUUCUGCAUCAUUUAAAACUCUACCAAGGUAGUAAUGUCUCUUUCGACACCAUUAUCAUCCUCCUCGGCUAACAUGCUUCCUAGAGUUUUGUCAGAUGCAAAUAUAUACAAUAUCAUAC